ensembl:lncRNA MIR7-3HG MIR7-3 host gene
ACGGGACACCUGCAUCUGCCAACAAGACUGGAAGCAGAAAGGGACAGAGACGGCGAAGUUUGACGGUCUGGAAAGCAGAGACCAGCAGGGCUGACUGCUUGGGAGCACCAAAUAUCCGGACAGCGCCUCUCGGGAGGUCCGAGAAGAGAACCGCGAUCUGUUUCAGCACCGGGGCUCAGGACAGUUCCCAGCGGGCUCCGUUUCGUCUCCAGAACCCUGGACAGCUCCUCCAGACUUCGGUGAGAAACCUUGUGCCAAGCAUUUUACAUACAUCAUAUCAUGCCAUCUUCAACCCUAGGACAUGGGUGUUACUGUGCCCAUGUGACAUUUGGGGAACCCAAGGCCCUGAGAAAGGCAGAAAAAUAACCCACGCAGGGACUCUCAGCCCACAAGUGAAGCUGAGAACCGGGAAUGGAAAACAGGGAGGCAGCACAGAGGCAGGAAACUCAGGUGUCAUAGCUUGGCUCAGACAUGGUCUCCUGCCUCAGCCUCUCAAAGUGCCAAGAUUACAGGUGUGAGCCACCGAACCCAGCCUAAGGAUACUUUUCAAUAAAAGUUCCAGAAGUG